rnacentral:rRNA from 1 species
CCUACGGGAGGCAGCAGUGGGGAAUAUUGGGCAAUGGGCGCAAGCCUGACCCAGCAAAGCCGCGUGAAGGAAGAAGGCUUUCGGGUUGUAAACUUCUUUUGUCAGGGAAGAGUAGAAGACGGUACCUGCCGAAUAAGCCACGGCUAACCACGGGCCCGCAGCCGCGGUAAUACGUAGGUGGCACGCGUUUUCCGGAUUUACUGGGUGUAAAGGGCGUGUAGGCGGGUUGACAAGUCAGAUGUGAAAUGCUGCGGCUUAACCGCAGAAGAGCAUUUGAAACUGUUGAUCUUGAGUACUGGAGAGGCAGACGGAAUUCGUAGUGUAGCGGUGAAAUGCGUAGAUAUUAGGAAGAACACCAGUUGCGAAGGCGGGCUGCUGGACAGCAACUGACGGUGAGGCGCGAAAGCGUGGGUAGCGAACAGGAUUAGAUACCCUAGUAGUC